rnacentral:rRNA from 1 species
GAUGAACGCUAGCUACAGUCUUAACACAUGCAAGUCGAGGGGCAUCAGGAAGAAAGCUUGCUUUCUUUGCCGGCGACCGGCGCACGGGUGAGUAACACGUAUCCAACCUGCCCUUUACUCGGGGAUAGCCUUUCGAAAGAAAGAUUAAUACCCGAUGGCAUAAUGAUUCCGCAUGGUUUCAUUAUUAAAGGAUUCCGGUAAAGGAUGGGGAUGCGUUCCAUUAGGUUGUUGGUGAGGUAACGGCUCACCAAGCCUUCGAUGGAUAGGGGUUCUGAGAGGAAGGUCCCCCACAUUGGAACUGAGACACGGUCCAAACUCCUACGGGAGGCAGCAGUGAGGAAUAUUGGUCAAUGGGCGGUAGCCUGAACCAGCCAAGUAGCGUGAAGGAUGAAGGCUCUAUGGGUCGUAAACUUCUUUUAUAUAAGAAUAAAGUGCAGUAUGUAUACUGUUUUGUAUGUAUUAUAUGAAUAAGGAUCGGCUAACUCCGUGCCAGCAGCCGCGGUAAUACGGAGGAUCCGAGCGUUAUCCGGAUUUAUUGGGUUUAAAGGGAGCGUAGGUGGACUGGUAAGUCAGUUGUGAAAGUUUGCGGCUCAACCGUAAAAUUGCAGUUGAUACUGUCAGUCUUGAGUACAGUAGAGGUGGGCGGAAUUCGUGGUGUAGCGGUGAAAUGCUUAGAUAUCACGAAGAACUCCGAUUGCGAAGGCAGCUCACUGGACUGCAACUGACACUGAUGCUCGAAAGUGUGGGUAUCAAACAGG